rnacentral:rRNA from 1 species
UACGUAGGGGGCAAGCGUUGUCCGGAAUCAUUGGGCGUAAAGAGCGUGUAGGCGGCCAGAAAAGUCCGCUGUGAAAACUCGAGGCUCAACUUCGAGCUGUCGGUGGAAACUUUCUGGCUAGAGUCCGGAAGAGGAGAAUGGAAUUCCUGGUGUAGCGGUGAAAUGCGCAGAUAUCGGGAGGAACACCCGUAGCGAAGGCGGCACUCUGGGCCGGUACUGACGGCUGAGGAGCGAAAGCGUGGGGAGCAAACAGG